AGAAUCAACGCUGGCGGCGUGCCUAACACAUGCAAGUCGAACGAGAAAGUGGUAGCAAUACCAUGAGUAAAGUGGCGCACGGGUGAGUAACACGUGACUAACCUACCCUGGAGUGGGGGAUAACUGAGGGAAACCUUAGCUAAUACCGCAUAAUACCUACGGGUCAAAGGAGCAAUUCGCUUUGGGAGGGGUCGCGGCUGAUUAGCUAGUUGGCGGGUAAUGGCCCACCAAGGCGAUGAUCGGU
rnacentral:rRNA from 1 species